CCUACGGGGAGCAGCAGUGAGGAAUAUUGGUCAAUGGGCGGGAGCCUGAACCAGCCAAGCCGCGUGAGGGAAGAAGGUACAGCGUAUCGUAAACCUCUUUUGUCAGGGAACAAAGGCGGGGACUAGUCCCCGGAUGAGGGUACCUGAAGAAAAAGCAUAGGCAAACUCCGUGCCAGCAGCCGCGGUAAUACGGAGGCUGCGGGCGUUAUCCGGAUUUAUUGGGUUUAAAGGGUGCGUAGGCGGAUUUUUAAGUCAGCGGUAAAAGGUCGGGGCUCAACCCGGGCCGGCCGUUGAAACUGGGGAUCUUGAGUGAGCGAGAGGUAUGCGGAAGGCGUGGUGUAGCGGUGAAAUGCAUAGAUAUCACGCAGAACUCCGAUUGCGAAGGCAGCAUACCGGCGCCCGACUGACGCUGAGGCACGAAAGCGUGGGGAUCGAACAGGAUUAGAUACCCCAGUAGUC
rnacentral:rRNA from 1 species